AAGGACGCGACUAACCGCGAAAGUCUUCGGGGAGCCGUAAGUAGGCUUUGAUCCGGAGGUCUCCGAAUGGGGGAACCCAGCAUGUGCAGACAUGCUAUCCUUAAGUGAAUACAUAGCUUAAGGAGGGAACACGCAGUGAACUGAAACAUCUAAGUAGCUGCAGGAAGAGAAAGAAAUAUCGAUUUCCCAAGUAGCGGCGAGCGAACAGGAAAGAGCCCAAACCGGCAGAUUUAUCUGCCGGGGUUGUAGGACUGAGACAUGGCACUUCAGAGGAUAGCAGAAGCGUUUGGGAAAGCGCGCCAGAGAGGGUGAGAGCCCCGUAAGCGAAAUCCAAAGAAGGCCUAUCAGUAUCCUGAGUAGGGCGGGACACGUGAAAUCCCGUUUGAAUCCGCGAGGACCAUCUCGCAAGGCUAAAUACUAACCAGUGACCGAUAGUGAACCAGUACCGUGAGGGAAAGGUGAAAAGAACCCCGGGAGGGGAGUGAAAGAGAACCUGAAACCGUGUGCCUACAAGUAGUCAGAGCCCGUUAACGGGUAAUGGCGUGCCUUUUGUAGAA
rnacentral:rRNA from 1 species